CUACGGGAGGCAGCAGCAAGGAAUUUUCGGCAAUGGGCGCAAGCCUGACCGAGCAACGCCGCGUGGAGGAUGACGGCCUUCGGGUUGUAAACUCCUUUUGCGGGGGAUGAUGAUGACCGUACCCCGCGAAUCAGGCUCGGCUAACUACGUGCCAGCAGCCGCGGUAAAACGUAGGAGGCGAGCGUUAUCCGGAAUCACUGGGCGUAAAGGGCGUCUAGGCGGCACGACAAGUGAGGUGUGAAAGCUCCUGGCUCAACUAGGAGAGUGCGCUUCAGACUGUCGAGCUUGGAGGGCAGGUGAAGGGGGUGGAAUUCCCGGUGGAGUGGUGGAAUGCGUAGAGAUCGGCAGGAACACCAAGGGGGAAACCAGCGAACUGGGCCAUAUCUGACGCUCAGGUGCGAAAGCGUGGGGAGCGGACCGGAUUAGAAACCCCAGUAGUCC
rnacentral:rRNA from 1 species